rnacentral:rRNA from 1 species
AUACCUGCCCUUGGGUCCGGCAUAACCCCGGGAAACUGGGGAUAAUUCCGGAUAACGCACAUAUGCUGGAAUGCUUUAUGCGUAAAAUGGAUUCGUCUGCCCAAGGAUGGAUCUGCGGCCUAUCAGGUAGUAGUGGGUGUAAUGUACCUACUAGCCAACAACGGGUACGGGUUGUGAGAGCAAGAGCCCGGAGAUGGAUUCUGAGACAUGAAUCCAGGCCCUACGGGGCGCAGCAGGCGCGAAAACUUUACAAUGCGGGAAACCGUGAUGAGGGGACACCGAGUGCCAGCAUCAUAUGCUGGCUGUCCGGGUGUGUAAAAUACACCCGUUAGCAAGGGCCGGGCAAGACCGGUGCCAGCCGCCGCGGUAACACCGGCGGCCCGAGUGGUGAUCGUGAUUAUUGGGUCUAAAGGGUCCGUAGCCGGUUUGGUCAGUCCUCCGGGAAAUCUGACGGCUCAACCGUUAGGCUUUCGGGGGAUACUGCCAGGCUUGGAACCGGGAGAGGUAAGAGGUACUACAGGGGUAGGAGUGAAAUCUUGUAAUCCCUGUGAGACCACCUGUGGCGAAGGCGUCUUACCAGAACGGGUUCGACGGUGAGGGACGAAAGCUGGGGGCACGAACCGGAUUAGAUACCCGGGUAGUCCCAGCCGUAAACGAUGCUCGCUAGGUGUCAGGCAUGGCGCGACCGUGUCUGGUGCCGCAGGGAAGCCGUGAAGCGAGCCACCUGGGAAGUACG